UACGAAGGGGGCUAGCGUUGCUCGGAAUUACUGGGCGUAAAGGGAGCGUAGGCGGAUAGUUCAGUCAGAGGUGAAAGCCCAGGGCUCAACCUUGGAACUGCCUUUGAUACUGGCUAUCUUGAGUUUGGGAGAGGUGUGUGGAACUCCGAGUGUAGAGGUGAAAUUCGUAGAUAUUCGGAAGAACACCGGUGGCGAAGGCGGCCAACUGGACCACAACUGACGCUGAGGCGCGAAAGCGUGGGGAGCAAACAGG
rnacentral:rRNA from 1 species